GCGGCGCUGGCGGCGCGCGGGGGACGGGCGGCGUCUGGGCUGGUCGCGGAGGGUUGGUUCAACCACGAAUGAGACACACUUCACCGUCUCCACAAAGCGCCACCUCGGCAAUUCUAGAGAGGAACUCCAUGGUACACAAAUGUUCAAGCCGGCAGGCAGCCCAGGAAACCAGGCGUGGACAGCUUUAAUCCACACAGUCCCCGUGCGGCCUCUAAGCCCCAGGAGGCUGGUCUACGUGGCAGCAUCAGUCUGGGGUCUUGGUUCAAGGAAUGGGACGUGCUCACCAGAGACUGGCUGGAACCGGGGAGAGCAGCGCCGGCGUGUCCCUGCCCCUAGAGCCUCUGCAGCUUUGUCACAGCUGGUGCGUUCCCCGCCAGUGACCACAGGUCCUGGACCUUCAAAGACAGAAUCCCCAGGAAAGAAGGUUUGGGUCACUCUAGCUGGUAAGGAGAUGCUUGCUGAAGGUGGAGGGAAGGUGGAAUGACUAGGAAAGCAAGAUCAUUAAUCCCAACGCAGCCUCUUGAAGAGUUAACAGAAAUGAAGCCUGCGAUCCCAAUCUGUGUUCCUCGUGUGAUGUUUUGUUCAACUGGGUCUCAGGAUAGAUCUUGCUACACAUUUUCAGAAGACUUUGCAAUGUAUAAAAGAUACUGUUUCACCAAAUCUUUGCCUUGGUCACAUCUUGAACAACGGAUACAGCAAGUAAUAGAAGUUAGAAAUGAUUUAUCUGAGGGAGAAGAUUUUUCACAUAGGUGCAUUUUUUAAAGACACCCAAAGUACAAAGUUUAGAAAGCAUAACCACUUCUUAAUGACAAUCUUUCCAAAGUGCAUCACAUCCUGCCUGGCUUCAUCAAACUGCGAUCCCCGAGGCCCAAAGGAGAUGACGGGUUUAUCUCGCCCUUGGACAUGACUCUCCAGAUUACUGCCCUUUCCUUAGGGCUGGGGAAUUUUUCUACCCCUGGUGACCUCAACAGCCUCCUGGUCAGAGGACAGAAACUUCUCCCCGUUUAACCCUUUCCACACUCUCUGGCUGUUACUUGUAUAGUCUCCUACCACUGCAAGGCUAGAACAGUUGAAUGUUGCAAUUGCAAACAGAUAAUCAUGCUCGUCGAGUUAAGUUUAUCAACUGUGCAUGAGUGGAAGUCAAUAUCCUGGUGGGAAGGCUGGAGUGUCUUCUACCCUCUACACUGGAGUACACAACUUAGAUUUUGUGACAGUCUAUGUUUCAACUCUGGUUCAGUUUGUGUGUCAUUUGUUGGUAGAAGUUUCCAGGUGUCUUAAGUGCCGGAUAGAGAGAGCAUUGCAAUCAUGCAUUUCAGGAGAGAUUUCUGAUGGGCUUUCUGGUAGAAAAAUUUCAUUUCAUUCUUCAGGAUCUCCGGGGAAACUGGAAUUUUCCUAAACAACGUAUGUUUUAAGAAAUUUCAUAUUUAUGUGUAAUCCUAAAGCCCCUUCGUUGAAUUUUUAGACUCAUUUUUUACGAGUCAGUCCUUAAAGGAGAUGGCUCCAGCAGCUUUCCUCUUUCAUACAUCAGUGUUGGUGUCUAUUAUUUCUUAUUCAAAAAUGUGGGGCAGAAUUUCCUUAAAAUAAUCCCUCUGAAGGAUGGCUUUCACAAAGAGAAGCAAUGGUGCUCGGUUAUAUAUCAUACAUGCAAAAAAAGUUGAUGUGAAAUCAUAGACCCAUUUUGAAGUGAGACAAUCUGAUCUUUCACACUAAACAAUAACAGCGGAAUUGCUGGUCUUUCAAAAAUGAGUAGCACAUUUUACAGCAAAACUGCUUACAGACAAUUUAGGAAAAGUACUUCAAUAUUUACUUUUUGAAUAUUGUUCCAGUGCCGUUUGGGGCAAACAGAAUCGUUUGGUUGAGAGAAUGAAUAUAGAGGGAAGUGGGUGUAAAAACAAGUUACAUUUUGAAUUGUAUGCAUUUUAUUCAGAAUAAUUGUUUUAUAGAUAAAGCAAAUCCAAAUAAAAAUAAAACACAGGACAAUCUAGCACAUGCCAUCCAGACUUAUUCCAUCAUAGUGUUAGAGACAUUGAUAUAUUUUAGCUUAAUUUCUUUUUUUUUUAACUUAAAAUUUUAA